GGAAUUUCCAAGCGGAGAUCUUUUAUGAGUUUUCACUUCUUUUGUCUAAACACAUUGAAACCUGAAGGCCAGAUACUCAGCUGGUAAAUCAGCUUAAUUCCACUGACGUCAGUGGAGCAGCGCCAACAGCAGAUCUGACCCGCUUCUUUAAUCUGAUCACUUGUCCAUCUCGUUUAUUUCAGAUUACAUCAGAGUGAGCAGAGCCUUACCUCAUUCACCAUCACCUUGAUAUAGGCAUAGUCUUGUGAGUCUUCUCAGAAGACUAUGGUCACUGAGAAAGAUGUAAAAAGCAAGAGUAGAAUCCAGGCCUACACCAUGUGGAAAAUGCAUGGAGCAAAGGAGUGAUUUCUUCAGUGCUGCCAUUCCAUUGGAGAUUGCAGUAGAAUCUCCUUCCAUGAUAGUCACCAUGCUGGAGUAAGUUCUCUGGUUGUGCUUCCUGUCAUCAGGUGUCACUCCAUCCAGAUGUCUGCAAGGAGAAGGACAGAGGAAGCAGCUGUUCUUUUGGGCUCUGUUCUGAUCCACAUUUUGAAUGACCCAUCCUUUAGCUUGCUGGAAUUCAAUGAGCAAAAGCAGAGCACAGACAAGAUUGCAAAUAUAUUCUGCUCAGAUGGAGGCACUAAACAC
rnacentral:lncRNA from 1 species